CGCAGAUGAUGUGAAGGGAAAUUUGCUGCCUGAGCGAUGGUGAGGACAUUCCUAACCACCAAGAUCGCUGAUGCA